rnacentral:rRNA from 1 species
AUUGAACGCUGGCGGCAGGCCUAACACAUGCAAGUCGAGCGAGCGGCGGACGGGUGAGUAAUGCCUGGGAAUUGCCCAGUCGAGGGGGAUAACAGUUGGAAACGACUGCUAAUACCGCAUACGAUUGGAUUGCCCAGGUGGGAUUAGCUAGUGGGUGGGGUAAUGGCUCACCAAGGCGACGAUCCCUAGCUGGUCUGAGAGGAUGAUCAGCCAAACUGGAACGGGAAAACGGUCCAGACUCCUACGGCAGGCAGCGGUGGGGAAUAUUGCACAAUGGGGGAAACCCGGAUGCAGCCAGGCCGGGUGUGUGAAGAAGGCCUUCGGGUUGUAAAGCACUUUCGGCGAGGAGGCGUUACUCGCAGAAGAAGCACCGGCUAACUCCGUGCCAGCAGCCGCGUAAUUC